AUUGAACGCUGGCGGCAUGCUUUACACAUGCAAGUCGAACGGCAGCGCGGGCUUCGGCCUGGCGGCGAGUGGCGAACGGGUGAGUAAUGCAUCGGAACGUGCCCAGUAGUGGGGGAUAGCCCGGCGAAAGCCGGAUUAAUACCGCAUACGACCUGAGGGUGAAAGCGGGGGACCGAAAGGCCUCGCGCUAUUGGAGCGGCCGAUGUCGGAUUAGCUAGUUGGUGGGGUAAAGGCUUACCAAGGCGACGAUCCGUAGCUGGUCUGAGAGGACGACCAGCCACACGGGGACUGAGACACGGCCCAGACUCCUACGGGAGGCAGCAGUGGGGAAUUUUGGACAAUGGGGGGAACCCUGAUCCAGCCAGGCCGCGUGCGGGAAGAAGGCCUUCGGGUUGUAAACCGCUUUUGUUCGGGAAGAAAUCCUCUGGGCUAAUACCCCGGGGGGAUGACGGUACCGGAAGAAUAAGCACCGGCUAACUACGUG
rnacentral:rRNA from 1 species